AUAUGGUAGUCUGUUAGUAUAGUUGAAGGAUUUGGAAAAUUCCGCUAAAGAGGGUGAAAGCCCCGUAGACGAAAUGCUGACAACACCUAGGAGGAUCCUGAGUACGGCGGAACACGAGAAAUUCCGUCGGAAUCCGCGGGGACCAUCCCGCAAGGCUAAAUACUCCCUAGUGACCGAUAGUGAACCAGUACCGUGAGGGAAAGGUGAAAAGCACCCCGGAAGGGGAGUGAAAUAGAUCCUGAAACCGUGUGCCUACAACAAGUCAAAGCUCGUUAAUGAGUGAUGGCGUGCCUUUUGUAGAAUGAACCGGCGAGUUACGAUUGCAUGCGAGGUUAAGUCGAAGAGACGGAGCCGCAGCGAAAGCGAGUCUGAAUAGGGCGAAUGAGUAUGUAGUCGUAGACCCGAAACCAUGUGAUCUACCCAUGUCCAGGUUGAAGGUGCGGUAAAACGCACUGGAGGACCGAACCCACGUACGUUGAAAAGUGCGGGGAUGAGGUGUGGGUAGCGGAGAAAUUCCAAACGAACUUGGAGAUAGCUGGUUCUCUCCGAAAUAGCUUUAGGGCUAGCCUCGGAAUUGAGAAUGAUGGAGGUAGAGCACUGUUUGGACUAGGGGCCCAUCUCGGGUUACCGAAUUCAGAUAAACUCCGAAUGCCAUUCAUUUAUAUCCGGGAGUCAGACUGCGAGUGAUAAGAUCCGUAGUCGAAAGGGAAACAGCCCAGACCACCAGCUAAGGUCCCAAAAUAUAUGUUAAGUGGAAAAGGAUGUGGGGUUGCACAGACAACUAGGAUGUUGGCUUAGAAGCAGCCACCAUUUAAAGAGUGCGUAAUAGCUCACUAGUCGAGUGACCCUGCGCCGAAAAUGUACCGGGGCUAAACAUAUUACCGAAGCUGUGGACUACACCAUUAGGUGUAGUGGUAGGAGAGCGUUCUAAGGGCGUUGAAGGUCGAUCGUGAGGACGGCUGGAGCGCUUAGAAGUGAGAAUGCCGGUAUGAGUAGCGAAAGACAGGUGAGAAUCCUGUCCACCGUAUGACUAAGGUUUCCUGGGGAAGGCUCGUCCGCCCAGGGUUAGUCGGGACCUAAGCCGAGGCCGAUAGGCGUAGGCGAUGGACAACAGGUUGAUAUUCCUGUACCAGUUGUUUUUGUUUGAGCAAUGGAGGGACGCAGUAGGCUAAGGAAUGCAUGCGAUUGGAAGUGCAUGUCCAAGCAAUGAGUCUUGAGUAGAGUUAAAUGCUUUACUCUCUAAGGACAAGUUGUGACGGGGAGCGAAAUAAUAGUAGCGAAGUUCCUGAUGUCACACUGCCAAGAAAAGCUUCUAGUGAGAAAACAACUGCCCGUA
rnacentral:rRNA from 1 species